rnacentral:snoRNA from 13 species
UUGCAUUGUGGUAUUUCGGUGAAAGCUCAGCCCUUUCUGAGUGUAACCAUCAUAACAAUGCUAGAUGAACCCCCAUCUUGCAGAAGGGUGAGGUCUGACAGUGGUGUUCUCUCUUUCGAAAGUUGGGUACAUUA